rnacentral:lncRNA from 1 species
AUGGAGAACAGCUGGAGUCCAGUGGAUCUCAGCCAUAGAUGCUCAGGAAGCACCUGGAGAGAGACCUCGCAACCCCUGACCCCAGUGAUGCCACUCCCACCCCCUAGAGAAGACUUAACAAGAAGCAAGAGGCUUGGUGAAUGCUCCUUGAUACAGCCGUCAGCAGUCAGCCAAAGUAAGCCCUACCUGCUCACAGGCACUGCUGCUCUCUGUGCAGAUCCCAUCUCAUCACUUUCACCUCUGCAUCCUCCUAUGAUAGCUACCUCUGCCCAAAUUCCUUGUUGCCUUCCAUGAGUUUCCACUGUUAAGAACAGUCUUCACCAUGCCUCUCUGCCAUCGAUCUCUCUGCUCCAGGAGCUCAGACACCCUCAGCAGUGACAGCAUUUCUCUCCUCAUCCUAGAAGAGUGCAGCUACCUGCUUCAGAACCAGCCUCACACUGAUCCUGAAUGUGCAUUCACCCACUGUCCUCAAGCAAGGAAAUUCUUUCCAACCCACGCUGGACUAUUUUCCCUCCUCUCCUCUCUGUGGUUACUUUAACUCCUGCCUCCAUGCCUACACUAAUUCCCCACAUCCUGCAUCAAAAACUAGUUCCUUAUCUUUACACUCUAUCAAGGACCUGUCAAUACAGUGAAGAGGCAUCAGAGUUCACUCACAAUGAUAAGAAUACAUUUCUCAAAGAAACAGAAAGAUGAUGGAGAGCAAAGAGAUCCAGAGCAAAGGCUCAGUUUGCAAACUCCAGAGAGCGGAAGGAAGUUUGGACACUGGAUUUGACCAUGCUGGGUGGUAGAGACUGGUGAAAAGAGAUUCUGAUACUAAAAUCGAAUGCCAGCUUCCUUCUUUAUUGUCAAGUCCUCUAGACAUCAAAAUGAACUUGGUUCAAAGCUUAUAAUGGUGGCUGUA